rnacentral:rRNA from 1 species
GACGAACGCUGGCGGCGUGCUUAACACAUGCAAGUCGAACGAUGAAAUUCUGACGGAGGCUUCGGCCAACUGAAGGAUGGAUUAGUGGCGGACGGGUGAGUAACGCGUGAGUAACCUGCCUUUCAGAGUGGAAUAACAUUUGGAAACGAAUGGUAAUACCGCAUAACGUCACGAGGUCGCAUGACCUUGUGACCAAAAGGAGCAAUCCGCUGAAAGAUGGACUCGCGUCCGAUUAGCUAGUUGGAGAGGUAACGGCUCCCCAAGGCGACGAUCGGUAGCCGGACUGAGAGGUUGAACGGCCACAUUGGGACUGAGACACGGCCCAGACUCCUACGGGAGGCAGCAGUGGGGAAUAUUGCACAAUGGGGGAAACCCUGAUGCAGCAACGCCGCGUGAAGGAAGACGGUCUUCGGACUGUAAACUUUGUCUUAGUGAAGAAGAAUGACGGUAGCUAAGGAGAAAGCCAACGGCUAACUACGUGCCAGCAG